UACGGGGGGGGCAAGCGUUGUUCGGAAUUACUGGGCGUAAAGGGCUCGUAGGCGGCCAACUAAGUCGGACGUGAAAUCCCUCGGCUUAACCGGGGAACUGCGUCCGAUACUGGAUGGCUUGAGUUUGGGGAGAGGGAUGCGGAAUUCCAGGUGUAGCGGUGAAAUGCGUAGAUAUCUGGAGGAACACCAGUGGCGAAAGCGGCUCACUGGACCAUAACUGACGCUGAUGCACGAAAGCUAGGGGAGCAAACAGG
rnacentral:rRNA from 1 species